rnacentral:tRNA from 1 species
GCGAAUGUAAUUUAAUGGUAAAAUGCCAGCUUGCCAUGCUGAUAAUGGGGGUUCGAUUCCCCUCGUUCGCU